UCCUCUAAUUUUACUAGUUGCUGG
rnacentral:misc_RNA from 1 species